rnacentral:ncRNA from 2 species
AGAAAACAGAAUUAUAUCACUCAUAUAAUCCCUGGAAUAUGGCCGGGGAGUCUCUACCAAGCAACCGUAAAUUGCUUGACUAUGAGUGAAAGUGUACCUAGG